rnacentral:lncRNA from 1 species
GCUCGCCGCCGCCCGCCCGGGUCCGAGGGGCGCUGUCCCGGCCGGGGCCCGGGGCGCUGGCCCGCGUCCCUCCCGCGGCCGGACCCCAAAGGCUGACAAAGAAUAAACAAAAGUUCUCCUCACUGCUGGGAAAGGGGGAAAAAAGAUUUCAGUAGGAGAAAAACGUCCUAAAAGGCAAGCCGAGUUACAGAGACAACAUUCCUGGCCACGAGAACCCUUGCUGGGAUCUAUAACUUCAACGCGCUCCAAGUUUCCUCGAUAGAAGUUUCUGGCUGACAGUUCCAACAUGUAACUGAGGCACAGUGAGAAGUUAUUGUUCCGAGUGUGUACUCUGGGGAAGCUCUCUUCCAGAGAAGAUUAAAAUCUUUCUUUUGGUGUAUUAAAAGAUAGACCUCACAUCUGCCACUUCCCAAAACAGCUAAGAUUCUUUUAAUUGAAUCUCAAGGAAAAGGAUUUUUUUAAAAAGCACUGGCACGUCGCCCUGGUUUUUUUUGUUGUUGUUGUUAAUGGGGGAAAGUAAUUUAAUGCUGAUAUUUCUACUUUAAAAACUUCUUUUGUUGCAGCAGUGGAUGUGCCCGCGAUUUCCAGCUUUCUGCGGUUAGCAAUAUUAUCUUAAGUAACUUUUGGC